GACGAACGCUGGCGGCGUGCUUAACACAUGCAAGUCGAACGGAAAGGCCCUGCUUGCCGGGUGCUCGAGUGGCGAACGGGUGAGUAACACGUGGGUGAUCUGCCCCUUACUUUGGGAUAAGCCUGGGAAACUGGGUCUAAUACUGGAUAGGACCAUGCUGUAGGUGGUGUGGUGGAAAGAUUAGUUUCGGUAAGGGAUGAGCUCGCGGCCUAUCAGCUUGUUGGUGGGGUAAUGGCCUACCAAGGCGUCGACGGGUAGCCGGCCUGAGAGGGUGGACGGCCACAUUGGGACUGAGAUACGGCGCAGACGCCUACGGGAGGCAGCAGUGGGGAAUAGUGCACAAUGGGCGCAAGCCUGAUGCAGCGACGCCGCGUGGGGGAUGACGGCCUUCGGGUUGUAAACUCCUUUCAGCCAUGACGAAGCCCUUGUGGUGACGGUAGUGGUAGAAGAAGCACCGGCUAACUACGUG
rnacentral:rRNA from 1 species